rnacentral:rRNA from 1 species
AAUGAACGCUAGCGGCAGGCUUAAUACAUGCAAGUCGAACGGUAAGGUCUCUUCGGAGAUACACGAGUGGCGCACGGGUGCGUAACGCGUAUGCAACCUACCUUUAACUGGGAAAUAGCCCCGAGAAAUCGGGAUUAAUGUCCCAUAUUAUUCUUUGAAUACCUAUUCGAGGAAUGAAAGCUCCGGCGGUUAUUGAUGGGCACGCGUGACAUUAGCUAGUUGGUGAGGUAACGGCUCACCAAGGCAACGAUGUCUAGGGGUCCUGAGAGGGUUAACCCCCACACUGGUACUGAGACACGGACCAGACACCUACGGGAGGCAGCAGUAAGGAAUAUUGGGCAAUGGACGCAAGUCUGACCCAGCCAUGCCGCGUGAAGGAUGAAUGUCCUAUGGAUUGUAAACUUCUUUUAUGCAGGAAAAAUAUCCCGGUCGUGAACCGGGACUGAUGGUACUGUAUGAAUAAGCAUCGGCUAACUCCGUGCCAGCAGCCGCGGUAA